AGGAUGAACGCUGGCGGCGUGCUUAACACAUGCAAGUCGAACGGUGAAAGAGAGCUUGCUCUCUGGAUCAGUGGCGAACGGGUGAGUAACGCGUGGGCAACCUGCCUCAAGGACUGGGAUAACAGCUCGAAAGGGCUGCUAAUACCGGAUAAGCCUAUGGCCUCGCAUGGGGCCAUGAGCAAAGGGGAAACCCGCCUUGAGAUGGGCCCGCGUCCCAUCAGCUAGUUGGUGAGGUGAAGGCUCACCAAGGCGACGACGGGUAGCCGGCCUGAGAGGGUGACCGGCCACACUGGGACUGAGACACGGCCCAGACUCCUACGGGGGGCAGCAGUGGGGAAUCUUGCACAAUGGGCGAAAGCCUGAUGCAGCGACGCCGCGUGAGCGAAGAAGGCCUUCGGGUUGUAAAGCUCUGUCUGGAGGGACGAAGGAAGUGACGGUACCUCCGGAGGAAGCCACGGCUAACUACGUG
rnacentral:rRNA from 1 species